GGUACGGAUCACGUAAACCGAAAAAUCCAUUCGUUACGUCCUCAAUCUGACAACUUCACACGGUGACGGCAUUAAAGAAAAAUCAAUUUUAUAAAUGGAAUCUUAUGUCUAAUUCCGUCUGUUCCAUCCUCGAAAUGAAAGAGACGGACGCAAAGGAUUAAACGUUUUUAGGAUAAAGGGUACCCUGACGCCUUGUUGAAUAAUGAAUACCCGUCGAUUUUAGGACGAUUGUUUCCACGCUGCUGCUUAAUUGCAUCUUAACAGCAGAUCAAUAUCUGACACUCGCAAUGACGUCGACACAUUGUAUAACAAAAAGCGG